rnacentral:lncRNA from 1 species
CAAUUUAGUUCCUUCUCCCCAGGAAGGGGAUGUUGGUGAAUUCCCGACUGCUGCCACCUCCUCUCCUGUCCUGGCCUCUGUGCUGUUGUGGCAGAAACAUGCCCCAGAGUGGGCUGCAGAUUCUCCCAAUGUGAUUAGAUGGGGCCCACCCAGAAAAGAAGGAAUCACUUUGUAUUGGAGUCCUGACAAAAUCUCUCAGCUUAUGGGGCACUCUUUCCAUUCCUUUAUUUAGGACAACCAAGUACUAUUCAUAUAUGGGGAAGCCACAUUGGAUUAACAUGUUCUCAAUCAGUGCUAUCAUUUGAUGCACAGAGAGGUCACUGGAUACAAUAGAAACAGAAGAAAGCAAAGGAAUUCAGCACAGCUGUGGGGUCAUUCAUGUGGUUGGGGCGGGUGAUGUGACUCCACAGCUGUGCUGAAUUCCUUUAAUAAAUAUUUGAUGGUGAGUUAAACAGCCUUUGAAAGCUCACAGGUAAAGCCACAUUCUUUUUUUUUUUAAAUUAUACUUUAAGUUCUAGGGUACAUGUGCACAAUGUGCGGGUUUGUUACAUACGUAUAUAUGUGCCAUGUAGGUGUGCUGCACCCAUUAACUCAUCAUUUACAUUUGUUAUAUCUCCUAAUGCUAUCCCUCCCCUCUUCCCCCCACCCCACGACAGGCCCCGGUGUGUGAUGUUCCCCGCCCUGUGUCCGAUGUUGCCCGCCCUGUGUCCAAGUGUUCUCAUUGUUCAAUUCUCACCUAUGAGUGAGAACAUGCGGUGUUUGGUUUUCUGUCCCUGCGAUAGUUUGCUCAGAAUGAUUAAAGCCACACUCUUAAAUGGUAAUUGAAGGUUCUCCAUUUUGGCUGCAAGUGAGAUUCACUUGAAGUGUUUUUAAAACAAAGAAUACCUGGGGCCUAACCCCAGAUAAAUUAUAAUUUUGGUAGGGUGUGGAAACUGGGUAGCAGUAUGUUUACAAAAAUUUCCAGGUGAUUCUUGAGUAUAAUCAAGAACUGCUGAAUUCCAUUGUGCAGGUCAUUAUAUACAGGUAAGCGGUGGUUCUCAGAUCAGGCUGUAUAUUAGAAUCAUGGGAGGAGCUUUAGAAAAUGCCACUCCUAGCACCUGCUCCCAGUCAGUAAAAUCACUAUUUUGGGGGCAAGGGCCCAGGUGUCGAUAGAUUUUACAGCUCCCCAGUUGAUUUUAAUUCGCAGCCAGCAUUAAGAACUACUGAUUUAUAGAGGUUUUUUUUUAAUCAUAAAUUUCAUUGAUGUGAUACAAAUGGAUCCUUUUUAGCUUGGGAUGAGCUUUUCAGGAACAGCAUUAUUUAUAUACAGAUUCAAAAGCAUUAUUUAAAAAAUAACUUAGAAAUGAAGAUAAUAUAUUCUGAAAACCUGUGCUAGAUGAGGUUAAAGAUGUGUAUGAAGCAUUUGAAUGAAAUUGUUUCAGAAAAUGAAAGAUUGAGGAUAGUGAUAUAGUUUGGCUGUGUCCCUACCCAAAUCUCCUCUGGAUUUGUAAUCAAAAUUGUAAUCCUCACGUCGGGGGAGGGACCUUGUGGGAGGUCAUUGACUCAUGGGGGUGGUUUCCCCCAUUCUGUUCUCCUGAUAGUGAGUGAGUUCUCACGAGAUCUGAUGGUUUUAUACGUGGCAGUUGCUCCCGCUCUCUUCUCUUUCACCUGCUGCCAUGUAAGAUGCGACUGCUUCCCCUUCUGCCAUGAUUGUAAGUUUCCUGAGGCCUCCCAAGUCAUGCAGAACUGGGGCAGCUUGGCAGAGGAAAUGUGGUAGUGGCCUGAGGCCUUGGGGCUGAAAGAGCCCGGGGUCUGAAAUCAUCAGAAUUGUCUCCAGAUGAAUUGAAACUGAGAUGGAAAGCAGCAUAUGACUCAUCGUGGCUCCAGGAUAGGCCAUAUCACUUCCUGGAAAGUUCUGUCCAUUCCCAUGCUCCCAUGGACAACUGAGAGUGAGGACAUAAGUGAGUGUUAUGAUUAUGUGCUCUUCUAGCAAUUAUCCUUUAAUGGUAUAUAGAACCCCAAAUCCCAGGCUCCAUGAGCAGCAGAGCAGCAGAGUGGCACAGCAGAGGAGAGAAGAAGCAUCUGAACGUGGUGAGGAGUUUGGCUAUGGACAGUCAGAAAGGAGUUCAUCCUGGGACGGCUGAACUCCAGGGGAAGAUUAUCUUCCCAUUGCAUCCCCUUUCCAGCUCCCUAUGCCACUGAAAGCCACCCUGUCACUCAAUAAAAACUCCGCAUUCAUCACCUUUCAAACUGUUCGUGUGACCUGAUUCUUUCUGAACACUGGACAAGAAU